rnacentral:rRNA from 1 species
AUUGAACGCUGGCGGCAGGCUUAACACAUGCAAGUCGAGCGAGCGGCGGACGGGUGAGUAAUGUCUGGGAAACUGCCUGAUGGAGGGGGAUAACUACUGGAAACUGUAGCUAAUACCGCAUACCAUAAGAUGAGCCCAGAUGGGAUUAGCUAGUCGGUGGGGUAAUGGCUCACCAAGUCGACGAUCCCUAGCUGGUCUGAGAGGAUGACCAGCAACACGGGGACUGAGACACGGCCCAGACUCCUACGGGAGGCAGCAGUGGGGAAGAUUGCACAAUUGGCGCAAGCCUGAUGCAGCCAUGCCGCGUGUGUGAAGAAGGCCUUCGGGUUGUAAAGCACUUUCAGUAAGGAGGCGUUACUCGCAGAAGAAGCACCGGCUAACUCCGUGCCAGCAGCCGCGGUAAUAC